rnacentral:rRNA from 1 species
GAUGAACGCUAGCUACAGGCUUAACACAUGCAAGUCGAGGGGAAACGAUAGAGAAAGCUUGCUUUUUCUAGGCGUCGACCGGCGCACGGGUGAGUAACGCGUAUCCAACCUGCCCAUCACUUGGGGAUAACCUUGCGAAAGUAAGACUAAUACCCAAUGAUAUCUCUAGAAGACAUCUGAAGGAGAUUAAAGAAUUAUCGGUGAUGGAUGGGGAUGCGGCUGAUUAGCUUGUUGGCGGGGUAACGGCCCACCAAGGCGACGAUCAGUAGGGGUUCUGAGAGGAAGGUCCCCCACAUCGGAACUGAGACACGGUCCAAACUCCUACGGGAGGCAGCAGUGAGGAAUAUUGGUCAAUGGACGAGAGUCUGAACCAGCCAAGUAGCGUGCAGGAUGACGGCCCUAUGGGUUGUAAACUGCUUUUAUAAGGGAAUAAAGUGAGUCUCGUGAGACUUUUUGCAUGUACCUUAUGAAUAAGGACCGGCUAAUUCCGUGCCAGCCGCCGCCGUAA